AACGCCUUUAAUUCAGUCCCGUGAGGCUGACAAGGGGAAUGCCCUUUCCGGUGGGAAGGUGGAAACCUCUUGUGCCUGUGGCAGAAGAGGUUUUUUUU
rfam:Novibacillus thermophilus strain SG-1, complete genome.